rnacentral:rRNA from 1 species
CCUACGGGUGGCAGCAGUGGGGAAUAUUCGGCAAUGAGCGCAAGCCUGACCCAGCAAUGCCGCGUGCACGAAGAAGGCUUUCGGGUUGUAAACUUCUUUGACAGGGGAAGAGCAGAAGACGGUACCCUGAAAACAAGCCACGGCUAACUACGUGCCAGCAGCCGCGGUAAUACGUAGGUGGCAAGCGUUGUCCGGAUUUACUGGGGGUAAAGGGCGUGUAGCCGGGAAGGCAAGUCAGUUGUGAAAUCCGCAGGCUCAACCUCCGAAUUGCAUUUGACACUGGUUUUCUUGAGUCCUGGAGAGGCAGACGGAAUUCCUUGUGUAGCGGUGAAAUGCGUAGAUAUAAGGAGGAACACCAGAGGCGAAGGCGGUCUGCUGGACAGCAACUGACGGUGAGGCGCGAAAGCGUGGGGAGCAAACAGGAUUAGAUACCCGUGUAGUC